rnacentral:misc_RNA from 1 species
UCCGAGUUGACCCCGGCAGUCUCCCAUGAGUCCCCGCCAUUACGCGCUGGCAACAUGGAACGAGGGUUGCGCUCGUUGCGGGACUUAACCCAACAUCUCACGACACGAGCUGACGACAACCAUGCACCACCUGUGAACCGGCCCCGAAGGACACCGUAUCUCUACGGCUUUUCCCUGCAUGUCAAGCCCAGGUAAGGUUCUUCGCGUUGCUUCGAAUUAAUCCACAUGCUCCGCCGCUUGUGCGGGCCCCCGUCAAUUCCUUUGAGUUUUAGCCUUGCGGCCGUACUCCCCAGGCGGGGCGCUUAAUGCGUUAGCUACGGCGCAGGAAACCGGAGAGGCCCCCCACACCUAGCGCCCAACGUUUACAGCGUGGACUAC